UCAGAAUCAGAGUUGGUGCAG
rnacentral:siRNA from 1 species